UCAAAACCUUAGGGCAUGAAUGGG
rnacentral:siRNA from 1 species